rnacentral:ribozyme from 1 species
ACGAAGCCUAAGAAAGAAAGAAAGAAAAAAAAAAAAGAACGAGUAAACUCUUCAUCAAAAUGUCUUCUGCUGAUUCCUC